GUGUAGAGAGAGAGGGAGAAGAAGAAAGAAAGGAAGAAAGAAGAAGAAGGUGAAGAGGAACCCAUUUUAGAGCUUGAACAAGGGGUGUGAAGUUUGGGUGUUGAUCAUAUUGUGUUCUUGAUUUUACAAUCAAGAGAGGCUCGUUGAAAGAUUGUGAAAAUUUCUUAGCUUGGACCUGAGGUAGCAAAUAGGAUUUCUUUAUGGCACGCGUGGUGACGUGAGGAGUUCUAUCAUCAUGGGGUGUAUGGCGUGGGGUAAUCCUAUGGACGAAAAAA